AAGCUUGCUUCUUGGGUGGCGAGUGGCGAACGGGUGAGUAACAUAUCGGAACGUACCGAGCAGUGGGGGAUAACUAAUCGAAAGAUUAGCUAAUACCGCAUAUUUUCUGAGGAAGAAAGCAGGGGACCAUUUGGCCUUGCGCUGUUUGAGCGGCCGAUAUCUGAUUAGCUAGUUGGUGGGGUAAAGGCCUACCAAGGCGACGAUCAGUAGCGGGUCUGAGAGGAUGAUCCGCCACACUGGGACUGAGACACGGCCCAGACUCCUACGGGGAGGCAGCAGUGGGGAAUUUUGGACAAUGGGCGCAAGCCUGAUCCAGCCAUGCCGCGUGUCUGAAGAAGGCCUUCGGGUUGUAAAGGACUUUUGUCAGGGAAGAAAAGGGCAGGGUUAAUACCCCUGUCUGAUGACGGUACCUGAAGAAUAAGCACCGGCUAACUACGUGCCAGCAGCCGCGGUAAUACGUAGGGUGCGAGCGUUAAUCGGAAUUACUGGGCGUAAAGCGGGCGCAGACGGUUACUUAAGCAGGAUGUGAAAUCCCCGGGCUCAACCUGGGAACUGCGUUCUGAACUGGGUGACUAGAGUGUGUCAGAGGGAGGUAGAAUUCCACGUGUAGCAGUGAAAUGCGUAGAGAUGUGGAGGAAUACCGAUGGCGAAGGCAGCCUCCUGGGAUAACACUGACGUUCAUGCCCGAAAGCGUGGGUAGCAAACAGGAUUAGAUACCCUGGUAGUCCACGCCCUAAACGAUGUCGAUUAGCUGUUGGGCAGCAUGACUGCUUAGUAGCG
rnacentral:rRNA from 1 species